GGGACUUUGGUCUAGUGGUAUGAUUCUCGCUUAGGGUGCGAGAGGUCGGCGGUUCAAUUCCGCCAAGUCCCC
rfam:Chlorella variabilis unplaced genomic scaffold CHLNCscaffold_4, whole genome shotgun sequence.